ACCUGGGUGGCUCAGUCAGUUAAGCAUCUGACUUUGGCUCAGGUCAUGAUCUCACGGUUCGUGGGUUCGAGCCCCGCAUCAGGCU
rnacentral:tRNA from 1 species